GAUGAACGCUAGCGGCAGGCUUAAUACAUGCAAGUCGAGGGGCAGCGGGGGCAGCAAUACCUGCCGGCGACCGGCAAACGGGUGCGGAACACGUACACAACCUUCCUUUAAGUGGGGGAUAGCCCAGAGAAAUUUGGAUUAAUACCCCGUAACAUUAUUUGAUGGCAUCAUUGGAUAAUUAAAGUUCCGGCGCUUAAAGAUGGGUGUGCGUCUGAUUAGGUAGUUGGUAGGGGUAACGGCCCACCAAGGCUACGAUGUCUAGGGGGUCUGAGAGGAUGACUCCCCCACACUGGUACUGAGACACGGACCAGACUCCUACGGGAGGCAGCAGUAAGGAAUAUUGGACAAUGGGCGCAAGCCUGAUCCAGCCAUGCCGCGUGC
rnacentral:rRNA from 1 species